UACGUAGGGCGCGAGCGUUGUCCGGAAUUAUUGGGCGUAAAGAGCUCGUAGGCGGCUGGUUGCGUCUGCUGUGAAAUCCCGGGGCUUAACCCCGGGCGUGCAGUGGAUACGGGCCGGCUGGAGGCAGGCAGGGGAGAAUGGAAUUCCCGGUGUAGCGGUGAAAUGCGCAGAUAUCAGGAGGAACACCGGUGGCGAAGGCGGGUCUCUGGGCCGUAACUGACGCUGAGGAGCGAAAGCAUGGGGGAGCGAACAGG
rnacentral:rRNA from 1 species